rnacentral:rRNA from 1 species
GUGCCAGCAGCCGCGGUAAAACGUAGGAUCCGAGCGUUAUCCGAAUUCACUGGGCGUAAAGCGCGUGCAGGCGGCCCGCUAAGUUAGGUGUGAAACCUCCCGGCUCAACUGGGAGAGGACGCUUAAGACUGGCGGGCUCGAGGGUGGUAGAGGGAGGUGGAAUUCCCGGUGUAGUGGUGAAAUGCGUAGAUAUCGGGAGGAACACCAGUGGCGAAAGCGGCCUCCUGGACCACAACUGACGCUCCAACGCGAAAGCUAGGGGAGCAAACGGGAUUAGAUACCCCCGUAGUCC